AAAUUUUGAUCAUAACAUAUAAAUAAGUAUUUUAAGACCAGCAAAUAUUCCUAAACAAGAUGAUAAAAAUAAAUAGAAUUUAAAAAAAAAAAACUAAGAAAAAAAAACGUAACUGUACACGAAACAAAUACUUCACUAACCAUUAUCUUUGCUAACAAACUCUAUUUCAUCACGGGUUUUACGGUAUCGGAUUGUUUCGGUAGUUGAGAUUCACUUAUUCGUGCGCCAC
rnacentral:lncRNA from 1 species